UGGGUUCGUCGGGGCCGACCACAGAGU
rnacentral:sRNA from 1 species